CAAACUUAGUGCGAGUUGUUUAUUAAUUUUGUUAAGGGAGGAAAAGAAAGUCUUGUAUUUAAUCUGGAAUAAAAAUACUUUCAAGAUCUCAAAACUUUUGGCAUCUUCUUUUUUUCCUGCACAGCCUACUGAGAACUGGGUUUAGUCCAGAAAACUGGUGGGAGAGGCUUGGAAAUGCACAGAAGCACAUAAUCUCUCAAAUCAGGCUUCUAAUGGAAAAUGGGCCAACCAUCUUGCACAACCAGGGAGGUUCAGAGGAAGUAAAGUUCAAAAGGAGAUGCUGGGAAGGAAGCAAGAAUCUCACACUUCUGCAGUUGGAACUAUGAAAUGUUAAUUAAGUAUAAAGGAAAAACAUGUUGAAGCACUUCGGAGUUACAUCCAAGGCAGAGGAAGCAUCAUGAAUAUAAUUACAACAUGGCAUGCCGUCUUGCAAAGUUGACUGGAAAACAAAUCCUGAUGCAUGGGAUGGAAUGAGCAGGUCCAACUGGUGGGGACAAGGAAUGGAGGUGAAUGGCAGUAGGCUAAGAAAUGUCCUUUCUUCUCUCUGACUGAUGCCAUCCAAGGUAGCUCCUCAUUCUCUGGGUAGGUACCAAACUGUGCCGGGUUUGUGUCCUCUGAAAAGCUAACAUUUUGGGGGAAGAAAAUUUCAAGGAACGACUGGAUGUUGUGUUGAGGGACAUGGUUUAGUGGGAGCUAUUGGUAAUGGGUGAACGGUUGGACUGAAUAAUCUCUUAGAUCUUUUCCAACCUUGGUGAUUCUAUGAUUCUAUAAGAGCAGAGACCCUGCCCAGGCACUGAGUGGGCUUGAUCCACCCAUGAAUGCUUGUUCCUUUCAUGUUAAGAAGGAUGAAAGAAGGGCAAAGUGUGUAAGUAAGCCCUCACUUAAAAAAAGGAUUUCUGGUUCAGUCUAGGUGUAGGCAAAGUUCAUGCAGAUCUUGUCAUAUUAGCAUAUGUGCCAUUUACUUGCGUUUUUCUUUUCCCUAGUGCUUUUGUCCUAAACUGGUUAUUUUGGAUUGCAAAUGUGAGGCAGUGAUCAACGGAUUUUCUGUCAUCAUCUGAAGGAGCAGAGCUCUGUGGUUGCUGAAGUGAACUCAGAACACAGAAGAACAGUCACCACGACUUACAGGGAGAUCUCAGGUCAGUGCCCUGCUCAGGAAGAAAAGAAAGAGGUUCUGAUCAGAGGAAGAUAACAGCUUGUCCUUAAAAUUAGACAUGCCCUUCAGGAGGAGACUGUGCAGGGAUCGCAGUUUUCAUCAGCUCUAGAGAUGUAGUAAUUGCUAGAGGGGUCAUUUACUUAUGUAUUUGUGGUAACUCUAUUCAUUAUUAC
rnacentral:lncRNA from 1 species